rnacentral:snoRNA from 14 species
CUUCUGCUGUGAUGAUCUUUUGAAUAAAAUUCACAUGUCAGACUUCAGAGAUCUUUUGAUCUAUGAGAAAAAACAUUCAUAAUUCUGAGCAGAAG